GACGAACGCUGGCGGCGUGCCUAAUACAUGCAAGUCGAGCGGUAAGGCCUCUUCGGAGGUACACGAGCGGCGGACGGCUGAGUAACACGUAGGAACAUACCCCAAAGUGAGGGAUAACUGCUCGAAAGAGUAGCUAAUACCGCAUGUGGUCUUCGGAUUAAAGCUUCGGCGCUUUGGGAAUGGCCUGCGUCUGAUUAGCUAGAUGGUGAGGUAAUGGCUCACCAUGGCGACGAUCAGUAGCUGGUCUGAGAGGAUGAUCAGCCAGACUGGGACUGAGACACGGCCCAGACUCCUACGGGAGGCAGCAGUAGGGAAUUUUCCACAAUGGGCGAAAGCCUGAUGGAGCAACGCCGCAUGCAGGAUGAAUGCCUUCGGGUUGUAAACUGCUUUUAUAUGUGACGAAUAUGACGGUAGCAUAUGAAUAAGGAUCGGCUAACUCCGUGCCAGCAGCCGCCGUAA
rnacentral:rRNA from 1 species